GGUGAAAAGGCAAUUCAUUAGCAACUUAGCGGAGUCUAAACUAUAAGCAACAGCGCGGGGUUCCAAAAAAACAACAAAAUCUUGAGAUAACAAAGCUCCCCCCUCUUGCAAGGGCACCAUCACAUUUGUUGGCUUCCCUGUAGCAAUGCUGAAUUCUAACCAUAGGAAUAUCCCUCAAGCCGAUCUUACAAUCUUCAACAAUGACAUCAAUUCCAGUUUAAGGGAAAUACAUAGUCGGAUUCCAUCUCUCAACGGCCACAGCUGAGCUUCAACACUAGUGGUAACACCAAUGGCUUUAGCAUAGCCUUUGAUCCAAUCUCCACUGUCAUUCCGGAUCAGCCCUCCUCAUCCCAACAGCCACAGCUCAGCUACAACACUGGUGGUAACACUACACCAACGGAUCUAGCAUAGCCUUUGACCCAAUCUCCACUAUCAUUCCGGAUCAGCCCUCCUCCCGCUAGCCCAGGAUUUCCUAGGGAAGAACCAUCCGAAUUCAACUUAUACCAGCUCACUGGAGGCCUAAGCCAACCAACUUUCAUACCGGUGUGAGAUCAGGUUAGCUUCCUAUUAAUGCCAAUGAAUGUAAACUCCCUUGCUUUGGCCAAGGUCUCUGCCUUCAAGUUUCUAUGAGACCUCUCAUUCCUGAAGAUGACACUAUUCCUUUGAAGCCAUGAGGACCAGAUUCUAAAGGAGAAAAUGAUGCCCCAGUCAAUGUUCGAAAAAGAAGAAGGUUUGGAACUACAACAGUUUAAUCUCAGCCAGUUGAAAGAUUAGCUCCAUAAAACAGAGUGGCUUGUAUGGGUGAAGGGAAAGAAUUUCAAAAGUAUUGAGCAAAAUGACAGUCUCUAAAAGCAUGGAUUAUAGACUCAGGGGCUUCAUUACAAAUCGGUCAUGAGGGGGGUAUUUCCAUCCUUCUAGCAGCUAGGGUAGCUCGAACCAGAAUACUCUUAUGAUAGCACUGCCAUAAAAAACAUUUCACCUUGGGAAUGGUUAGGACUUUCCAGAUCCAAUCCCCUCCAAACGGUUCAGUCUGGCAUCCCUCUUCUUCUAUAUUUGCUAACAUGUAAGCUUCCUUGAGUUCGAAUAUCCCACUUGGGGAAGACGGCCAAGUAAUGCGGUCUCCACUCCACUCCGAGGGCAAAAGGAUAUAGGAGUGGCUUUUAUUUCAAGAAGCAAGUUGUUAUGCGAAGUAGUUCAGUGUGUCAAAAUCAUUUUCUCUAUAAUGCUUCAUAUUUGAUUUUCAUACAGCAAGGAAUAGAUUUAUUGAAUCCAAACUUCAGUCCUUGGAUUGACAAUCUCUAAUUGAUUCUUAUCUCAAAGUCUUGGAGUCAGCUAAAGAGAAAAGAGAUGUCCAGAAAAGGUUCCUGACAUUUGCUUCACAGAUGUUAUCAAUUGAUGCAUAUCUGAAUGAGUAUGUUUAUGCAUCACUUUUGUGAUUAUAGAGGUACUAAUGGUAUUAUGGGGCAUCCCCUGCAGCAAAUACAACAUUGCAGUUGGUAUGCGGUAAUGUUUGAUCCCUUUGAAAGGGUUGCCCGUGCUCAUCAUGUUUGCCCUUGCUGUGAGUGCCCUCUCUCUCUGAGGAAGAGGAAGAUGAGUUUGUUAAAAAGCAACGAGUGAAGGCAGCAAGUUCUGUUGGGCAUAUGAAAGUGCUGGCUGUGGAUUCCUCAAGUGCUGACUCUCAUUUUCAGCAGUUGGACAAGCUCUGUAUUGUUUAUGAAAAAUAUGUUAAACUUGGAAAGGAAACAAUUCCUAAUGCUGAGAAAGAUUUGCAUGAGCUGACUCAAGCUGGAUCGAAAGUCACAGGCCCCUGAUGAUGUAAUUAUCAAUUCUGCAACGAGUAAAGGCAGCAAGUUCUGUUGAGCAUAUGAAAGUGCUGGCUGUGGACCCCUCAAGUGCUGACUCUCAUUUUCAGCAGUUGGACAAGCUCCGUAUGGUUUAUGAAGAAUAUGUUAAAAUUGGAAAGGAGACAAUUCCUAAUGCUGAGAAAGAUUUGCAUGGGCUGACUUGAGCUGGAUCAAAAGUCACAGGCCCUUCUUGAUGUAAUUAUCAAUUCUGGUCAUAUAGGUAUUUUAGCUCAAGUAAAGGCUGAUAAGGAUUCAAUUGAGGCCUUGGUGCAACCUGUUGAAACUGCUGACAGUCUCUUCCAAGAAAUUCAAAGGCUGAUAGGGACUCAAUUGAAGGUUUUUAAUGGUUGAUCUUCCUUUGUGCAUUCAAAAGAACCAUGGAAACCACGUACAGAGUCUCCAAAUUGUCUCAAAAGUCAAGCUAUUCGUUCAAAAGCAUACUCUCAAGCAAGUGCCUCAUCUCUGCAAAAACAAAGUCAGUUGCAACCUGCAACAAACCACAAGAAAUUUGUCAACCUCUCCCACUUAUUGGUAGUGACGCAGCUGGACAACAGAAAACAAAUUUUACUGGAAAAUAAACAUUGAAAUAUCAUAUAAGGGAUAAAACCUACGAGUCUUCACCUAGUAUUACUUGGAAUUAGCACCAAGCAUAGCUUAAGUCGGCACCAAUCAUAAAACUGAAGAAAACUUUAUUACCAUUAAGAAAAACACUUUUUUACAAAAUUGAAAAUUGUGCUUAAAUAAAGAAGGGGUAAUUAUACUCCACUUCCUUGAGAUUUGGGGAAAUAACACUCCACCUAAACUAGAAGAAAAAAACCAUUCACCUCACUUCGUUUGAAGAAAAUAACACUUCCCCUUUUUGUUUAUAUAUUAAUAAUGGAAUAUUUUAAAAUUUUAUAAGAUUUUCUUUAACAAAGUUUAAUCAUGAUUAGUAAAAAAAUAACUAAUAAAUUUAUAAUUAAAAUGCAAAAUUUAUCAUGCACCAAAAAAUUACAACGAUAAAUCUCUUCUCAGCCAGUAGAAAAAAGAAAAAAGGCAAAAAGCAAAAAGCAAAAGUCCUUUUGAAUAUUUUAAAAUUCAAAACAAUGAAUUUUAAUUCCAAAAUGGAUAAUAAUUUUGGAAGCCUGUCAUUAAGUAAAAGGAAAAUUAGUGCAUAACAUUUUUAAUAUCAAUUUAACAAAGUUUGGUCAUGUCAAUGUAGGAAAGUGUUUUUUAUCUUUAAGUUUGGAAUGGAGUGUCAUUCUCUUAA